rnacentral:lncRNA from 1 species
UCGAAUCAGCUACAGCUGCUGGCCUACACCACAGCCACAGCAAUGCAGGAUCAGAGCCUCAUCUUCAACCUACACCGCAGCUCACAACAAUGCCAGAUCCCUGACCCACUAAGCGAGGCCAGGGAUUGAACCCCCAUCCUGAUGAAUACUAGUCAGGUUCAUUUCUGCUGUGCUACAUCGGGAACUCCCCAUCCUCAACUUCCUAAUUUAUAAAGUGGGAAGAAUAAUAGAACCCAAUUUAAGGGGCUGUAAUUUUAUUUUUUUUUGAUAGGCAAGAAAUAGAUUUAUUAACAUAGGACACUUGUGAGAGAUGCAAGUGGGCAGGCAAGGAGGCUCUGACCUAGGGCCAUAAUUUUUAAAAAAAAAUUAAAUGAGCUAAUAUAUGUACAAAUCCCUAGUACCUGGGACCUAGUAAGUAUUUAAUACAUGUUACCUAUUAUUAUAAAAAUAAUAUAUUAUUAUUAAAUGAGGAACUAAUCUAUUUUCAACCUAGAUGUCCUUGCUGUGACCUCUUUCCUCCCCUGCAUCUUCCCCCAUCGAAUCCCCCUUGGUACAAAAGCUGUUUGGAGACUAUUUCUGCCCGAGGAUAUGAAUUUGGAAAGAAAACAAAAAUAAGGCAAUCAGGCUACAAAAAUUCCUCUUUGCCAAGAUGGCUUUGAGCCAGGCCUGCUGGCAGUCAGAAUGCAUGAACCAAGGGGAGAUGAAGGGUACAGUUGCCUCCAGAAAAAUGCCACUACCAGGUUCAAUCUCUGGCCUGACGUCAGAGCUUGCCUCCUCCGUGACAAAGCAAGCUGGACUGGACAAGUAGCCUUUGCUGGCCCAGAAGCCCCUGCAGAGGUCAGGACCAAAUCUGCAAGUAUUACUCAGCCUGACACUCCCACCAGGAGAGUGAGGGCAGAGCCAGGACCACCAGGUAGGUCUCCUCUCACAGAGCCAGGCAGGCCGGGCCAGGAAGUAACAACACAUCCAUUCCCAGGCAGACCAGAGGGGUGCUUCCUUCAUGUACCCAUAGGCAAUGUAACUAUAGCAUGACAUCAGAACAGUCAGGACUGAGCCAAAGUCAAGGAUGAGAGAGAGGGUCCAGCCUUCCAGGAAGAGGGAAAACAAGUGAAGAGUUCCCGAGGGAGGAAGGUGAGUACAAGAGUGAAUAGAAGGUCACUGUAAGCUGGACAGCAGAGAGCCAGGGCCUGAGUGGCUCCAGAGAAGGGCGGGGCGGGGGGGGGGGGGGGCGGUGGCGGGGACUUGACCCCCAGAACCUCUGGCUCUGUUGAAGACUUUCGUUUUUAUCCUAAUGCAAAUGGAACAUUUUAAGUAGAAGAGAGACAAGCUCAGAUGUGCAAUGUUUAAACAAUUCACUCAACAAAUAUUUUUGGAGUUCCUGUUGUGGCUCAGUGGUUAAGGAACCCAACUAUCAUCCAUGAGGACAAAGGUUUGAUCCCUGACCUCACUCAGUGGGUUAAGGAUGUGGCGUUGCCAUGAGCUGUGGUGUAGGUUGCAGACACGGCUCAGAUCCUGAGUUGCUGUGGCUGUGGUGGAGGCCGGCGGCUACAGCUCCGAUUGGACCCCUAGCCUGGGAACUUCCAUAUGCCGUUGGUGUGGCCCUAAAAGACAAAAACAAAGAAUAAAACAAAACAAAAAAUAUUCUUGAGUACCUACAACAAAUUAUGCAAGAUAGUAAGAAGAAUGCUAUGGAAAAAAUAACACAUUGAAUUUUCAGUUUCACAGGGCAGUAGGGCUAGUAACCAAAAUGAUUGAUCAUCAUAUCAGGUGGAGAGAUAACGUCUUAAAAGAAAAGUUUUGUAAAUGGAGUGUAUAUGAUUAUGAGGCAGAAGAGGGUGUUUCUGAGAGAUGCAGAAAGCUUCAUGAAGAAAGCAGAGAGGGAGUUCCCAUAGUGGCUCCGUGGUAAUGAACCCAACUACGAUCCGUGAAGAUGCAAGUUCUAUCCCUGGCCUCGCUCACCGAGUUAAGGAUCUGGCAUUGCCAUGAGCUGUGGUGUAGGUCACAGAUGAGGCUUGAACCCUGUGUUGCUGUGGCUGUGGUACAGGCCAGCAGCUACAGCUCCAAUUGGACCCCUAACCUGGAAACCUCCAUAUGCCGCAGGUGCAGCCCUAAAAAUGACCAAGAAAAAAAAAAGUGUCUGAUGGCCCAAGCCCACAGUCUGGCUCUACCAUCGACGUAAGAGUUGUGAGACCUGAGCAAAUUGCUUCACCUCCCUUUUCUUUAGCAGUAUUUUUAUUCAAGCCAGAGCAUAAAAGAGAAAUAGGAUCUGGAUAUACAGAGAUGGGGGAAGGAGGGGCGGGGGUGGGAGCGUGGCUGGGAAGAACAUCAGUCAAGACAGGGAGACCUCGAAAAUGAGACGAGGCAGCUCCACUCGGCAGGAGACCAAGUGUGUUAGUAGAAACAUGAAGUUGUGAAGGGUAUUAACACGUUUUGGAUUUUUACCAGGUGCCAGAAGUCUGCACGCAUUAAUGCAUUUCAUCUUCACAACAACCCUACAAGAAGGAGGGAUUUCUUUUCUUUCACUUACUAGGCCUUUGGUGCUCGGAGAUGCUGAGCAGCUCGACCGAGCUUGUAGGUGGAAGAGAAUGGAUGGAGACCCCAAUCCUCUCCCACCAAAGUUCAAACGUGCUCCACUCUGACCGCGCCCACACCCACCGCCAGAGUGGGACGGCAUCUUCUCCCGAGCGAUUGCCCCCACGAGCCCCAAGCACAGAGGGGUGUGAUUGUGGACAUGCCGGAGCCUCAUCUACAUCUGCAAAGGUAGUUCUGGAAAACGUAUUCAAAAAUGCUUUGCGCGAAAAGAUAUUGUCAGACUGAGGACAAUGCCUUCCCAAGGGGGGCUCUUUGUGGAGUCCUUUGGAUAUGCAAGAUCUCUGGUGGGUUUUAUUUUUUUAUUUUUUACUUUUUCGUCUUCCCCCCCGCCCCCCGCCAGGGCCACACCCAUGGCAUAUGGAGGUGUCCGGGCUAGGGGUCAAAUCGGAGUUGUAGCCGUCGGCCUACGCCACAGCUACAGAAACACCAGAUCCGAGCCGCGUCUGCGACCUACACCACAGCUCACGGCAACACUUAACCCACUGAGCAAGGUCAGGGAUUGAACCCAAAACCUCAUGGUUCCCAGUUGGAUUCAUUAACCACUGCGCCACGACGGGAACUCCUCUGGUGGUUUUUAAAGCAUCCACCUACUUUCCAAUCACACCUCUUUGUUACCUUGGAGUAGUAACAAAUUAAGCCGGAAUCAGCUAUUCACACUGAAUGAUUUUAUAAAGCUUGCUUCGCUCCCACAGCUUCGCUACUUUAAAUGCAAGCCACUUGCCUAAGGAAGCAGAUAAGGUGGAAACUGCAUUAAAAGAAGGUGGCAUAAAUCAUACUUCAAGAUCCCAGACACGUUCCUUCCAGAAUUCCUUUUUCAUAGAUACUCCUAGUUCUCAGUCAAGUUUAAAAAAAAAAAAAAGGAUGUGAUAGAGUAUGGGCAAGAGAAUAAAUGUUAGUUCUGUCCAAAAAGAACCAUUAAUGACCGAAGUGUGCCUUUUAUGUGGCAGAGUAAAUUCUGCCAGGAAAAAAACAGACAGACAAACCAGCAUGUCUUUGAGAAUGGGAAUCACAGUUGAGAGAGCACUGACAUUUUGUGAGUUUAAAAAUAGAUCCUUCCAAUGGAAAGAGGGUCUGCUAAAAAUACAAACCAGCACAGGCCCUGCUGCACUCCAGAGCUGUGACCAGGUUAUUAGGCUACUCAAUAACACCCUAUUUUUAGGGCUGUGGAGCAGGAAACACAGGCUGAGCUUCAGGAGCUCAAACAGGCAUGUAAUGCAAGGGAUCCUCUCUGGAGGCAGAAUCCUCUCCAAAGCACCCAAAAGUAAAGACUUGCGAUCCUGAACAGUCUUCUGAGGCAAAGCAAUGAUGUCCAGCUUUUACAAGGUGCUAAGGUUAAUGGAAAGGGGGGGGUGGGGUGAUGACUGGAUCCAUUCUUGUUUUCCUGGUGGACACACAGCUUGUUAGCACUGGAGGGACCUUGGAGACAGCCUGGUACUGGGCAUUCGAUGUGGAGUGGCCGCCCAGAAUCUGAACCCUCUGAUUCCCCCCAUGGGAACCCUCCCUUUUAGGGGUGUUGAUGGUCUACAGGGCCUGCCCUCCCUAUCUCGGAAGCUGUUUUCCCAGUCCGAUGAGGUGGUCCUCCAAGCCCAUCCCACACCCGCCACAUGCACCGAGCUCAGGAUGUCAGAUACACCUGCUCAGGUUUUUGAGUCGGAAUCUAAUGAUGCAAAGGAAAAGAGAGCAGAGCAUUCUUUCCAAGGGUAGCAGCAAAGACGGUGACAUUCCGUUCUCAAGGACAGCACAGCCAGUGGUGCCCACAGGGGCGUCCCAUGCCCACUGCUGGCAGGGGCACAAGCUGUGACACUCAGCAUUCAAUGGCACCAUAGCUGUCCUGCCUCCAGCGAGUCUGGCCCCUCCCUGGGAUGCUGGCCUUGGUUUUGCUUGUGCGAUCUUCCCUUUUUCCUUGUUCUCCCCAACUGAUUCUUGGGGCUUCCUGGGAAUGAAUACUGUGAGGUGACCGAUAGCCUUUCAAUCAGUUCAUUUUCUGUUUAAAUUACCCAGAGGCAAUAUUUAUUCUUUGCAGCUAAGAACCCUGACUGCAAUAAUAAUCCAUGCCUGUUAUCUUACAGAUGAAAUUAAGAAUGAGAGGGAGGAGUUUCCGGGUGGCCUAGCAGUUAAGGAUCCAGUAUUGUCCUUGCUAUGGCAAGGGGUCAAUCCCUGGCCUAGGGAACUUCUGCACGCUGCUGAUGGGGGUGGUGGGGGCAGAACGACAGGGAAAACACACAGCUAGUUAGCAUCAAAUCCAGGCCUCAAAAGCAGGCCUCCUGUCACAGUGUAGGUGCUAACCCCCACAUGGCACAGCCUUACAGAGCUACAGAGGGCACCUCGAUAUGCCCUGUGCUCUCCUGCUCAGGUGUCACCUCUGCCAUGGCCCACCCACUGAACUGUCUACAUCUUUCCCAAGUCAUUCCUAAUGUCAUAACUCACCUAACCCCGGCCAAUUAUACCCUGCGCCCUUCCAAGUUACAAAGUCUCCUUUCUCCCAAAACUUAUUUAUUUAUUUAUUUAUUGCAUUUUAGGGCUGUACCUGUGGCAUAUGGACAUUCCCAGGCUAGGGGUUGAAUUGGAGCCACAGCAAAGUGGGAUCCGAGCUGCAUCUGCGACCUACACCAGAGCUCAUGCAACACCAGAUCCUUCAUCCUUAGGGAUCCUAAUUGGGUUCUUUAACCAGUGAGCCGCGAAGGCAACUCCAAAGACCAUAUCUAUUGAGGACCUGCUAUGUGCCUGACACCACACCUAUCACCAAGGGUCCUACAGUGAGGAAAACAGAAACGGACCCGGAUAUCAUGAGUAUUCUGUGUAGAGGGGAAGGUAGGAGUGAAUCAAAUAAUCAUGCAAGCGUGUAAUUACACACUGACAAUAACUAAGAAAGAUAAGCUUAGGCUGUUAGGACAGCAUGCAACUGAGAGGUCUGAUCGAGCCCAGAAGUCAAGAAAACCCCUGAGAACGUCGCGUUUGUGAUGAGCUCUGACAUCGAUUAAGUUCACCUGGUGAAAAGAGAAGGGAGACAGAUCCAGGGAGAAGGCUUAGCACUUCUCAGGUCCUGGAACAGAAGCAGGAAAGCAGGACCAGCAGAAGAAAGGCAGUGUGUCAGAGUAAGCUAAGAGUGAGAAGGGCUGGCAUGAGCUGGGGGGAGGGUGGAGCUGGGUCAUUCAGGGCCGUGGGCCUAGUUACAGAUUUUGCUCAGGGCAGCAGGCAACCACUGAAUGAUAUUAAGCAGAGGAACGACACGGGUCAUGCUGUAUUUUGAAAAGACGGCUGUGGCUGCCCUGUGGGGAAUGAAUUGAAGAGGUGACAGUGCACAUAUGCAAACAAAUUAGCUGUCCAUUGCCAUGGCUCCAGGGAGAGGUGAUGGUAGCUUUGAGUUAGGAGAUGGAGUUAGAGGAGAGAUGUGAUGAGACUGGAGAAAUAAUUGAGGAAAAUCCAUAGGACUUGGUAUUUGGAGACACUGGAGAGAAGAUGUUGAGAAUGAUGCUACAUUUCUGGCUGUUUGCCAGAAGAGACACGGUACAAAGGCCUUUGCUGUACAAAACAGUCAAGGGACAGUGUGAGUUUGGUUUUAAAUAAAUUAAAGUUGCAAUACCUUUCAGACAUUCCAAUGGAAAUGUCAAAAUAUAUGGAUAUGAGGCUCAGGAGAAGGGAAUGGGCUAAAGAUGUCCCUUCAGUGUUAUUCUUAUAAAGAUGAUCAUUGAAGCCCUGAGUGCAGGUGAGUUCACUUGGGGAGAGAGUAUAGAUGAACAAGAGAAAGAGGCUUAGGAAAAGACCUUAAGAAUUACACUGCUUCUGGCUUGUCUUGCGGCAGAGCUUGUUUGACCUCUGGCCUGUACAGUGGGUUAAGGAUCCAGCACUGUUAAAGAUCCAACAUUGCCACAACUGUGGCAUAGGUCCCAGCUGUGGCUCAGAUUUGA